rnacentral:lncRNA from 1 species
GGGUGAGCAAAACUCGAUUCGACUCGAAAAAAUCGAAAAAAAAUUCGAAUUUCGAGUUAAACGAAUCGAGUUAUUCGAAUAAACUCGAAUUUUUUUUUUCGAAUUUCGAGUUCGAAUCGAGUUAAGUUUUCGAAUUCGAAUAACUCGAAUAAUUCGAAUAAUUCGAAUAUCAAACUAUAAUAUUUGACAGUUUUACCCUAAACUCCCAAACCUUUUUACUUUUCCCUCAAAACUUUUACUCCUUCCCACUUUCCCCCUAGAACUUUUACUCCCCUCCCCUCCCAACCCCCCAAUCUACCCAAAAUACAUUUCCCACCAAAAUUUUACUCUCCCAUUUACUUUUUCUCAAAAUUUUACUCCCAAAAACCCUCAAAACCUUUUAUUUUCUCUCAAA